GCCUCCAAGGAUGAUCACAAAAUUUAACUUUGGUUCUUCCGAUUUUCUCCAUGAGGAAACAAUUUGGAGACCUGAACUGAAGAGGC